GUCCACUUUUCUUCUAGUUGGCGCUCUGGAGAUCCUGUCUUCCAGGUCUUGAGUAGCACCUUAUCUCCAGGCUCAAAGGAAUGCAUUGAACUUGUGA